GUACUUUCAGCAGUGAGGAAGGUGGGUAUGUUAAUAGCAUACUCAUUUGACGUUAGCUGCAGAAGAAGCACCGGCUAACUCCGUGCCAGCAGCCGCGGUAAUACGGAGGGUGCGAGCGUUAAUCGGAAUUACUGGGCGUAAAGCGCAUGCAGGUGGUUUGUUAAGUCAGAUGUGAAAGCCCGGGGCUCAACCUCGGAAUUGCAUUUGAAACUGGCAAACUAGAGUACUGUAGAGGGGGUAGAAUUUCAGGUGUAGCGGUGAAAUGCGUAGAGAUCUGAAGGAAUACCGGUGGCGAAGGCGGCCCCCUGGACAGAUACUGACACUCAGAUGCGAAAGCGUGGGGAGCAAACAGGAUUAGAUACCCUGGUAG
rnacentral:rRNA from 1 species